GGGCAGUUUCUAGAUGGUCAUUCCUUCAGUCUCUGCUCUGAACUUUGUAACUUUUUCCAUGGGUAUUUUGUUCCUCCUUCUAAGAAGGAUCAAAGUAUCUACACUUUGGUCUUCCUUCUUCAGAGAAGUAUUUAUAAAUGAGAACAGUUAAAUGUUGAAAAGUUAAACGUUGAUAAAAUUACUCUUUUGAGCCAGGCAUGGUGGCGCACGCCUUUAAUCCCAGCACUUGGGAGGCAGAGGCAGGCGAAUUUCUGAGUUCGAGGCCAGCCUGGUCUACAGAGUGAGUUCCAGGACAGCCAGGGCUACACAGAAAAACCCUGUCUCGAAAAACCAAAAAAAAAAAAAAAAAAAGAAAAGAAAAGAAAAAAAAUUACUCUUUUGUAAAAUUGAAGAUUCUUCACCCUCUUUGCAACUCGCCUUACUGUUGCUUCUUGGGCUCUUGCACUGCUUCAAGGAGGUAGUUAAGAUUCAAACUUCGAUUGGGGCAAGUGUUGGCUAGUUUUUAUAAAGGGCCUGUUUUGCCUGUUUUCUUCACUCUGACAAGGAGAAAAGUAGACCCUCAGCUCAAUGGCUGCACUGGGCUCCUGGUUAGGCCUGGGUGCUACCUCAAGCUGGCCAUUCCUGUUUCAGUCCUGAUUUCUGCUGUGAAACAUAAAUGAGGCCACAGCCUUCAGUAGGUAGAUACUGAGGCCACUCUGAAGUCAAAGGAUUCUAGACUAAACCAGACCUCUCUGCAGUCUUGUCUGAGCAAGGAGAUAAUAUAAACAACCAAACUACAGAAAUGGCCAAAAACUCUGGGCUAACACAGCAACCGUUACUGCUUUACAAUGAUAGUGUCAGCCUCUGUCCAGAUGCCUCCUCCAAGAUAAGACUGAGUAAGAUAGUCAACGGAAACUAUUCGCCCACCAGUGAAAAUGGACCCAUGCUUCCUCCUAGACACUCAAGUCACAGGAGUCAGCCAAAGUCUUACGUUCUUUCUUACUGAGGGACCGAAGGGCUCCAUCACCCAGGGAAUCAUAAACUCAAUCUGUGUUUCCUGGAGUCUCUCACUGGAGGGCAGUGGACUUUUAUAUCUAAGAAUCUACUGCCGUAACUUAGAGUAACCAGUUCACAAACUCAUUUAGUUUUAAUGACAGGAAAAUCUAGUUUUCUUAAAGUCAGUAUUUCUAUUAAAAUAGUUAAAUAUAACUGGAGACAUUUUGGAAAAUAUUUCAUUAUAGAAACGAGAAACAUUCCCAGAUAAUGUCUAGAAAUAUAUCUUAAAUAAUCAGAGGAAAUAAACACAGGAAAAUAUUGCCCAUAUUUUUAAUAGGCUAGCUAUCAUAUAAUUUGUGUCUGUGUUUUUUGUUUUUUGUUUGUUUGUUUGUUUUGGUUUUUCGAGACAGGGUUUCUCUGUGUAGCCCUGGCUGUGCUGGAACUCACUUUGUAGACCAGGCUGGCCUCGAACUCAGAAAUCCACCUGCCUCUGCCUUCUGAGUGCUGGGAUUAAAGGCACCACCAUGCCCAGCUGUGUCUGUGUUUUUAUAGCAGCAGGGAAUCUAUUAAGUCCUGGGCAAGUGCAUUAUCACUAAACUGCAUCCCCAGCCCCACACUUGUGGUUCUAGAAUCUACUUUUUCUCUUAUCAUCAUCAAUGGGUGUCUUAUCCAUUGUCUGAGCCUUACAAAUCUAAACUUACAGUUUGGAGUAUGUCAUCCUGUUUAUCUUGUAUAUUUAGAUUGUCUGGAGUUUUUGCUAACAGUUUUCACUACUAUAUUGAUAUAACAACAUAUGUAAAUAAAAGUAUUUAUCGGAGAAUUUAUAUAAGAAACUUUAGGGAAAAAAACCCUUUAUGUUCUUCAGUACAGGAAUGGGCAAUGUAUGAUAGAGACAUAUGUGGAGAACUCCUGUAGUACAAGGGUAAUGGGACUCUUCUGUAGCAGUUACCUGUAAUGUUUUGUUUUAUUUUGUUUUGUUUUUUUCGAGACAGGGCUAUACAGAAACCCUGUCUCGAAAAAAAAAAAAAAAAAAAAAAAAAGGGUGAAAGGUUAGUCAUAUUUUGAUGUGCUUGUUUUAUAUAAAAUACAUUAUUUGUAUAUUCUUUAAAUAAUAUAAAGCAUUUAUAUGUUCCUUAAGGAAUAUAUUCUUAGCACAAAAUGAAAAUCAGGUGUUUUAAUUAAUAAGCACCUAUAAUUUUUUAUAGUAUUCCAACCUGGUUAGAAACCUAGAGGAAUUAGUUUUCGUAUGACCAGCAGAUAUGAGUACUUAAGAUUUAAGACCUUUAAGGCAAAGUAGAUCUUAGACCCGUCAAUUUUAACGUGAAAUUGUUUAAAGUUACCUGAAGUGCCAGUACUGUUAAAACACUCAGCCCGCUUUCGUUUAGUCUGAGAUGGGUGGCAUGUGAGAACUCGCAGAGUAUCUGAGAAUCUAAAGAAAAUGUAUAAAGAAAUAAAGUACACUGUUAGAGUUGAAGUAGCAUGACUAAAGAUGCUGCUCCACUAUUAUAGCCUGAGCACCAGUCCUACCACAAAACACAUAACAAUAAGAUCAUAACUUGUACUGUUUAAGACACUUCACAGAGUGAUCCAAGGACUCUAGGAUACUGAAAUGGUUGAAGGUAUAGUUCUACUUCCAAACACACAGACCUUUGGACUUUCUGCUAGGAUUUAAAACUAUGAAU
rnacentral:lncRNA from 1 species